GAGAUCACAGGAACCUGCGAUUUUUCCAUAGGAGCAAAAUGCACUUUUAAAUGUAAUGCUGACUUUAUUGCAAACGAACUUUAUCAAAGUAUCACAUGUAAUAGCAGUGGACAGUGGGAUGCUUCGGAAGAACUUUGUCUUGUAUCAGAGUGCAAUGACAGUUCAUUGUCUAAUGGAAAGGUUACAGAAAAAUGCAAGAAAAUUGUUGGCGAGACUUGUCCAAUAACGUGUAAUCAAGGUUAUGUCAAUACAACCUCAGUGGCUAUCUGCAGAAAUGAUUACAUGUGACAUCCGACGGAGUCAUGUAUACCUAUAAAAUGUUCCCCUUACAUACCAAAUGGAGAGAUCACUGGAACAUGUGACUUAACCAUAGGGGCGACAUGCAAUUUUACGUGCUACAGUGACUUUAAAGCAGCUGACCUACUUACGAAUGUAACUUGCAAUGCUAGUGGACAUUGGAGCAUAACAAACAAUCUAUGCCUUAAGCGAAUAAGUGUCACAAGAGAAUCGUCGUCGUCAAAUGGAUUACCUGUGCCAGGUGUCGCUGCUGGAGUAGCGAUUUUGCUAUUAGCAGUCUUCUUGCUAAUUGGUGCUAAUAUAUUUCUAUUUCUAAGAGGUAGUAGUAAUUUGUCACCUUUUGGCCAUAGUAGAACAUCCGCCUUUGAAAAUCCAGGUUACUUACAGAAUACUGACCACCCUGUCCAAACUAUAGAUGAAUCCUAUCUUCUUUACUGAAGAUGCUUCAUCCAGCGAUGAACGUAUUAUAAAUCCCAUGUACGACAAUGAGCCACUGCCAGAUGCUGCACAAACAGACAUGACGAAUGAUACGCAUGAUUCAUGGCAGAAGGAAAAGAAAAAGCUUGAUAUGAAGAAAUAUUAAAUAUGUUAUCACUGUGUUUUUUUUCUUCUCGAAUAACAAAGACGUGGUUAUGAUAUAUUAUCAUUUCUUUGUUAACUUGUAAAUACUUAUUACGUUAAUAUAAUCGGUGUAAUAAAUCAAAAUCAAAAAUA
rnacentral:lncRNA from 1 species